UAUAUAUAGAUAUAUACAUAUAAUUAUAUAAAUAUAGAUAUAUGCAUACAUAUAUACACAUAUAUACAGGCGUAAAUAACAUGCAUAUAUGUAUAUAUAUAUAUAUCAGUAUUCAGAUACGUAUAUCCUUUACAAACACUGAAACACACAUGCACACAAACACACACUUAAAAUAUUAGAGAAUAUAAAUGUUUCAGAAUUGAUCUAUAAAAGCAUUACCAGAAAACUAUUACGUUGUUUUUAUGUUGACUCUGGUCUAAAAUUAAAUGUUUUGAAGAUUUACAAGCAGUUGUGACACAAACGACCUGGGAUAAUCUUCUGCUGAAAUGCAAACCAUGGAAGAGGCAGUUUUGAAUAGAAAGAUUGAGUUUGUCAUCAUUAUGCGAAUGACUGAAUAAAAUUUCAAAUUUGUAAUUGUGUGGCUGGAGGCCCUGAUGGAAUUUAAAGAAAAUUAAUACAUAUUUCUGUAAAAAAAAAAAUGUUCAUGAAAGUGUUUCAAGUGAAAAGUAACUGGAAUUACCAAUGAAAAAUAUGAUAUAUAUAUAUAUAUCAUAAACACACACACAUAGUGAUAUAUAUCAUAUACAUACAUUCAUAUAUAUAUAUAUAUAUAUAUAUAUAUAUGUAUGUAUAGAUACAUACAUAAAGAAAUAGAUAAAUAUAUGUAUAUGUAUGAAUACAUUAUAUAUAUAUAUACAUACACACACACACAAAUAUAUAUAUAUAUAUUAUAUAUAUAUAUAUAUAUUAUAUAUAUAUAUAUACAUAUAUAUGCGUGCAGAUUUUGGAGUACAAACUGGUGGAAGACUACUGGACAUAUUAAUAUUGGCAUUGUUGAUAUAGUCGUUGUAUAGGUUAAAAUACCGUUACUCGGAGUUUCCCACCAAUCGAUGGAUUGUAUAAUACAAUCAAUGGAUUGUAUAAUUGUUCGGAACAAGUUGGGUUCAUAUUGAGUAUAUCCGCUAUCACUGCGAAUUGAUAUAAUGAACGCAGUUCACUUAGAGAAUCACGAGUAUAAGCGCAUAGUUUACCUUAUAGGAGCAUUAAAGUUUCCGUGUCUAACUAUUUAAAUAAAAUACCUACUAAUUAGCAGGCAAAGUUCAUAGGUAAACAAUAGAAUGUAUUAGGAGCGAAACUUAUUAUUGGGAGUCGUCCUUAGACUAAGUUAAUGUGAUGGAUGAGAUCAAAGAAUAAUAGAAGUAGAGUUAGAGUUUAAGAAUAGACGUAUUAUCAAUUAAUGAACAAGGUUACUGAGUAAAAAAGAACGUUACUAUUUGAUUAUCAGUAUGAUCCAGUAGUUGUGCGAAGCUAUAGAAGUUAACCAUCACCGAUUUGAACAGGUAAUUUUUGAAUAAGCUCUAGCAAUCUCCUCACUCAGUAACCCUGUUAUAUCAUCAUGCAUCUUUUCUUAAUAUUUGGAAAUUGAUAUCAUCACGAGAUUGAACGUUGGAUAUCUCCCUUGAUCCGUUUCAUCAUAUUGAUUCUGUCUGCGAUAAUCCAACUGUAAUUUCCUUGUCCUGAGACUUUUUUGUUUACCUUGGGACACUUCGCGCCAAAUGACUGGUAGUUUACUUAGUCGUAUGCGUUAUCCGAAAUACUAAUAUAGGGAAAAACAACCUUAAUAUCAUGUAUUAAAGGAAUGUGUC
rnacentral:lncRNA from 1 species